CGGCCGCGUCGACCCUGGGAGUACGGCCGCAAGGCUAAACUCAAAGGAAUUGACGGGGCCCGGCACAAGCGGCGGAGCAUGCGGAUUAAUUCGAUGCAACGCGAAGAACCUUACCAAGGCUUGACAUGUUCUCGAUCGCCGUAGAGAUACGGUUUCCCCUUUGGGGCGGGUUCACAGGUGGUGCAUGGUUGUCGUCAGCUCGUGUCGUGAGAUGUUGGGUUAAGUCCCGCAACGAGCGCA
rnacentral:rRNA from 1 species